rnacentral:rRNA from 1 species
GAAAUGCUUNGAUAUCACGAAGAACUCCGAUUGCGAAGGCAGCUUGCUGGACUGUAACUGACGCUGAGGCACGAAAGCGUGGGGAUCAAACAGGAUUAGAUACCCUGGUAGNCCACGCCGUAAACGAUGAAUGCUAGCUGUUAGCGAUAUACUGUUAGCGGCACAGAGAAAUCGUUAAGCAUUCCACCUGGGGAGUACGCCGGCAACGGUGAAACUCAAAGGAAUUGACGGGGGCCCGCACAAGCGGAGGAACAUGUGGUUUAAUUCGAUGAUACGCGAGGAACCUUACCUGGGCUUAAAUUGCAGUGGAAUAACGUGGAAACAUGUUAGCCUUCGGGCCGCUGUGAAGGUGCUGCAUGGUUGUCGUCAGCUCGUGCCGUGAGGUGUCGGCUUAAGUGCCAUAACGAGCGCAACCCUCAUCGAUAGUUACUAACAGGUUAAGCUGGGGACUCUAUCGAGACUGCCGACGUAAGUCGUGAGGAAGGUGGGGAUGACGUCAAAUCAGCACGGCCCUUACGUCCAGGGCUACACACGUGUUACAAUGGGGGGUACAAAGGGCAGCUACCUGGCGACAGGAUGCUAAUCUCAAAAACCUCUCUCAGUUCGGAUUGGAGUCUGCAACCCGACUCCAUGAAGCUGGAUUCGCUAGUAAUCGCGCAUCAGCCACGGCGCGGUGAAUACGUUCCCGGGCCUUGUACACACCGCCCGUCAAGCCAUGGGAGCCGGGGGGACCUGAAGUAUGCAACCGUAAGGAGCGUCCUAGGGUAAAACUGGUGACUGGGGCU